AUAAAAAAUAGCUGACGAGGUCAGCAGAUAAUGUUACUUUAUUUACUGUUGCAUAUUUAUUUAUUUUCAAAUUAAAAGUCAUGUGGCACUCCCAGUAAUAAGUCCAGCAGUAUCAUACUGUCUGUUUAAAAUACAUAUAAGUUGAAACAAGGUAUUUGCGUUGCUAUGAUACGUAGGGACCAGCACCACAAUCCACGCACAGAAGUUAUCAUUUGUACGUACUAUACGCAAAUGAUGGCUAGCGAUCUCUGGAAAUGAGCCUAAGAAAAUUUGUUAACGAACGCAGGGUAUUUAAAAAACUAUUGACAGGAAAAUAUUUAUUUGCAGAUGUCGCAGGUAAAGCAACUUGCUUAAUAUGUUGAGCUAAUGUCACAGUUUUUAAAGAGUACAAUUUGCAGAGGCACUUCCAGAGCAAGCAUGCAGCGGAAUACAAAAACUGUCACCCGAUGCUACAAUUCAACAAGCCCAAGCGCAGAUGCGGCCUCUCUGAUGAACAUCUUGCAGCAGUACCGCACACUGCUUCAACAGAACCGCACACUGCUUCAAUAGAACCGCACACUGCUUCAACAGAACCGCACACUGCUUCAACAGAACCGCACACUGCUUCAACAGAACCGCACACUGCUUCAAUAGAAACGCACACUGCUUAAACAGAAAAGACUCCUGACUUCACCUCACUUGUCAACGCCCAUACGAGGCUGUCCUGUUCAUAUUGAGUGCUUAACUGGGAAACCAAAGGCUGUGCAAUGUGUGACCCUUCCGUCUGAAGUAUACAACAUUGAUUUGAAGCAUCAAAUACGUUACACAACUACGACCAACUGUGACGUAAUGGAUUAGUAAUGUAACGACACCACCGCCUCACAGUGUUGUGGCAACGUUAUCCGAAGGUAAAAGAAUGACCACAUAAUUGGUAAUCUUCCUUACCUGCUCAGUACAUUGCAGCAACGUAAGUACACAACAUACAGACAAUGUAACUACUUAUGUCCCUGUUUGGUUACGAUUUUACAUAACUACAACUGUCAAAUUUAACCUCCUAUUUCUGUUGCUACAACCAGAGGCGUUGCUAAGAUCUCAAUAAAUUCGGAAAUAGCACACCCCAGCCACCCCGGGAUAGAAAGAACUGGGUUGAAGAAAAUUGGAAUGUACAUGCUAGUGGCCUACGCGUAUACAUUGUCAUAGUGUGUGAUCGGAAUUAUAGAUGCAUAGAUCAGGGGCUAUUUUUUUUUUGUCAAUUUGAGAUCCAUGGCUAUUCAUAAAAGGCCCGGGGCUAUAGUCCUAAACGCCCAUGCCUAACGAUGUCACUGGCUACAAUUUACUUUGAUUAUGAUGGCAUUACUUGCCACCACAUCAGAAACCACAUAUACCUUAGUUUAGCCCAUAUGAAGAUCUUUAAAGAAUUCCCCAAUCCCAGCAAUUCAUCUCAUCUUCAUCCGCGUAUCGGGUCGCGGGGGCAGCAGCUCCAGCAGGGGACCCCCAAACUUCCCUUUCCCGAGCCAUAUUUGCCAGCUCUAACUGGCCUGGGAACGCCUCGGGAACCCCCAAUGUCGAAAUAUAAUCUCUCCACCUAGUCCUACCUAGUCCAUCUCUAAUGGAGAAGCCAGCCACCCUUCUGAGAAAACCCAUUUCAGCCGCUUGUACUCGGGAUCUAGUUCUUUUGGUCAUGACCCAGCCUUCAUGACCAUAGGUGAGGGUAGGAACGAAAAUUGACCAGUAUAUCGAGAGCUCUCUUUUCGUCACAACGUUGCGGUAAAACGAAUGUAAUAUUCUCCGGCUCCAUUGUCCCCUCACUUGCGAACAAGACCCAGAGAUACUUGAACUCCUUUACUCGGGGUAACGCCUUAUUCCCUACCCGGAGUAGGCACUCCAUCGGUUUCCUGCUGAGAACCAUGGCCUCAGAUUUAGAGGUGCUAAUCCUCAUCCCAACCGCUUUGCACUCGGCUGCGAACUGGUCCAGUGAGUGCUGAAGGUCACAGACCAAUGAUGCCAUCAGGACCACAUCAUCCGCAAAAAAGAGGGAUGAGAUCCCCAGCCCACCAAACUGCAACCCCUCCCCACCCCGACUACGCCUCGAUAUUCUGUCCAUAAAAGUUACAAACAGGAUUGGUGACAAAGCGCAGCCCUGUAGUCUAUAGUAUAGUAUACCUGGAUUGCUGCUGCAGGUACACUGUAGCACAAGUUUUCUGUAAACGUACCUGGCUAACUAGCUACUACAGCUAGCUAACACUACAACGACAUUAACAAACAGCUUAGUUGUUAAGCCGGCAUAAUUUCUGGAGCACCGUCAUCAUUUCUGGACAAGGAUCUCAGGGAAGCUUAUUUAACUUCUUUACAAAGCAGAUAACUAAAAUCACUGAAAAUGGAACAUUUAGAAUGAAUGACUGGGAAUGACGUGUCUGUAGAAAGAGAACAAAGCCUAAACAAUUGGGUUGUGUCUGUAGCAACCAAAACAUGAGAGAGCUCAAAUUCACACAUAAAAUAUGUAAACAUAAAUGAAAACACAUUCUGUCUAGUGGUAAACAUAGCACAAAAAUGUUUUGAUUAGGGGGUUCUGAGUACAGCUGAGCAGAGGGGGGAGAAAGAUAAUGGACGGAUGAACACGCCAUGUUACUGUCGAUCAAAACUAAAAGUGCCUGUCGAAUCUCAUUAUCUGUGCUGAAACCACAACAGAGGGUGUCAGCAGUAUCACCAGCACCCCUACUUCCCACUGCUGUGCUAGGAAAGGUUUGCUUAAGUUGUUGUUUUUGGCCACUGGGGUAUAAGACGGAUAAACAGCUCAGUACAUUGCCUCUGAGUAACGAACUCCAAGAAG
ensembl:lncRNA